rnacentral:tRNA from 1 species
GGAGGAUAGGCAAAUGUUGGUUUGUUGCGGCACCCUGCUAAGGUGUUCCGGCUAUCCGGUGAUGGUUCGAUUCCAUUGUCCUCCG